GAUGAACGCUAGCGGCAGGCUUAAUACAUGCAAGUCGAACGGCAGCACGGGAGCAAUCCUGGUGGCGAGUGGCGAACGGGUGAGUAAUAUAUCGGAACGUGCCCAGUCGUGGGGGAUAACGCAGCGAAAGCUGUGCUAAUACCGCAUACGAUCUAAGGAUGAAAGCGGGGGAUCGCAAGACCUCGCGCGAUUGGAGCGGCCGAUAUCAGAUUAGCUAGUUGGUGGGGUAAAGGCCCACCAAGGCGACGAUCUGUAGCUGGUCUGAGAGGACGACCAGCCACACUGGAACUGAGACACGGUCCAGACUCCUACGGAAGGCAGCAGUGGGGAAUUUUGGACAAUGGGCGCAAGCCUGAUCCAGCAAUGCCGCGUGCAGGAUGAAGGCCUUCGGGUUGUAAACUGCUUUUGUACGGAACGAAACGGCCCUUUCUAAUACAGGGGGCUAAUGACGGUACCGUAAGAAUAAGCACCGGCUAACUACGUGCCAGCCGCCGCCGUAAUAC
rnacentral:rRNA from 1 species